AGGUAUAUACCGUCGCCUCCUCUCACGCCCCAGCCGUCGACGCGCCGCCCUGCGCCUGCAGCCGUCGUCUUGCCUCCGGCCGUCCGCCGCUGCGUCCGAUGGAUCCGCAACAACCUGAGCCCGUCAGCUAUCUCUGUGGAGAUUGUGGAGCUGAGAACACACUGAAGCCAGGAGAUGUGAUCCAGUGCCGUGAAUGUGGCUAUCGCAUCCUCUACAAGAAGCGCACCCGCCGGAUUGUUCAAUAUGAAGCGCGCUGAAGAUAUGGGAACGUCAUGUGACAUCAGUCUUUCUAAAGCAAUGUGCAGGCGCGUGGGGACUUGAUACCGCUGUGUCUCCAACAUCCUCCUCUACACCGCCCAGAGUUCAUUAGGUAUUUUCUUCCCCUGUUAAUUUUGUUUCCUAUCUGUGGAUCUGUGAUGCAUACAUUCAAGUUGAGAAGCUGCAGUUAUGCCCUGACAUCUAUGGCCAGGCUAUGACAAAGAGAUACUUUGUGACGAUACAUUUAAUUGGCUAGCGGUCUGGAUCCCAUGUAACAGUAUGUCAUUAGCUCUUGUUGCUAUUAUUCAAGUAAAUAUGGCUAACUGAUUUCUAAUAUGAAUAGUCUCAGAGGUUCUGAUUUGAUUUCAUUUGGUUGGUUCGGUGUACAGCUGCCGUCUGUGGCAGUCGGUUCAGUGUAGUCUCUCACAUUAUUUUUUUACUCUGUUAAACAACCUCAAAUGAAAACUUCAGUUAAAAAUGACAGAUUCCAUAGCUAAAAUUGUUUAUUUAGCUAGAACUAGCCAGCAGUAUACUUAUACGUUAUUUCCUGAGAUUGCACGCUUAUUUGUAGUCAAACUAUUGGAGCUCGAAAGCUAACUGAAAUUCUAACAUGAAUACUCGCAGAGGUUCUGAACUUCUGAUUUGAUUUCAUUUGGUUGGCUCAGUGUACAGCUGCCGGCUGCGGUGGUCGGUUCAAUGUAGUCUCUCACAUUCUUUUUUUUACUUUGUUAAACAACCUCCAAUGGAAACUAUCGUGAAAAAUGACAAAUUCCUAGCUAAAUUAUUUUAUUUAGCUAGAACUAGCCAGCACUAUACUGAUUGUACAAGUCCUGAGAUAAGCGCUUAUUUGUGGUUAACCUAUUGCAGCUGCAAUUUUGGGUACAAGGACUAGAGUCUUUCUUUAGUAAAAAUGCAGUGCCAUGCACUUUAUAAUCUCAGCCUUGGGAAACAAAUAGUUUGGUUUCUAACUGAAUAUUUUUUGUUUUAACAGCUUACAUUUUCUUGUAGCAUCUUCUCCAGGUCACUGCUGCUCAACAUCAUCUGCAUUUAAGGUAAUGCCAGUUGUCCUCUUCUGCACUCUGCCUUAAUUCUGCUAGUUGUCCUCUUCUGCUGUGCUUGCUACCCGCUCUGCAUGAUCAUUAUGUUGCCAGGUGCUAUCACAAGCACUUUUGUUUCAAUCUUCUUUGUUGUUCACAUCGCUUAAUUGGCACUGGAUUUUAGAUCUUUUUUAGUGUGAAAUGCAUAAUAUAUUCACGUCUGGCAUGGAUAUUCCCCUUUGAGAUGAAACAAGAUAUUUGGUGUGCAUAGAUCGAGACUGCUGCACGGCUGCUGUUUUUCUGCUUGUUGGCCAAGUUCAUUUUACUGAAUCCAUUCCAAGCAUAAUUUCUAGCAGCUAUAAUCAAGACCAUCUUGCUUGGGUAUUUUGAUAUGUUAUACAUAAUUGCUGCAUAAUUUUUUUUAUGAAUACCUAUAGAAAAUAAAUUGUGUUAUUCAGAUUCAGCAUACAGUAUAUAUUUCAGAAUAUGUAUAUGAUAAGUUUAAAGUUCAGAAUGUAAAUAGGCACAGCAUUUAGAUGAACAAACAUGAGGUCUAGAUUUUAGAAAUAGCUUAACAAAUUGUUCUUUCCAGGUGUCUCAGUUUCUGCCUUUGUUUGCCCUAGCACUGCACACUCCAUUCAUACCACAAAACGAUCAAUUCAGCCUUAGACUUGUACAUAGGUGUGUAUUGAGCUAAUCACACUGGGGUUAGUAGCAAUCAAUUAAGAAGGUAGAACGAAGCAGAGACAUGAUGUAAAGAAAGGAAAUAUGCAAGAGUGGAACAAACCGUCAAACCCUGCGCACUGAGUUUUACAUCCUCCAGAUAGAAUCAUAAAUUGCUAUGAAACUAUUGAUGAUAUUCCAAUCUGAAGUGCAACCUACUUUAUCAAUGUUUAGAAGCACAAUCGUUGUUUCGUUAGUGAGGAAAAUGCAUAAAUAUGGCACUGUGCAGAACCUGCUAGCACAACAGGGAAGGGGAAAUUAACCCCCAAAUUCAUGUGUUAAGUGCAGUGCACAAUUCACUUCACCAAUCAGUUGCCAGUUCACAGUACCUGACUUGUUCCUCCAUCGUGCUUUGGCGUUGUGGAUCAAAGGGACGCUAUGUGAACAUUAUUUUGAUUGGUGCGACUUAGAAGGACCUGAAAAUGUGCAGUGCACAUUUACGUUGAUUGUUUCAAAAUUCCAUAAUUGUUGAUCUUUCAUCUGAUUUAUUUUCAGUAAUGGAUAAGAUUGUUAGGGGCUCUAGUGCUCCACACCAUCAUCAAGUACAACAACAGAUGGGCCAGGGGUGGAGACAAGUCGUUAAGUGUUGUUCGAAGAAAUGACGAUAACUGUGACGCCUCUAAACAGAACGCUCCAACGGCUGCAAAUGGCCAUGACUCAAAGGCUAGGGUGGAUAUAUUGACGGUUUCUUUUGCAGUGACACGUGAAGCUCGACAACCUCUAGCUGGAUAAGAAGGCAUGCGGUUGAAUGGCCAAGAGCUUGAGAUGGAGCUUAAGAGGCGGUACGGCCCAAGCCCAGUUGGCAGUUUGCGUUCUGCCUUUGCCAUUUCAAUUUGUAAAUGUAGUCAGGCGCUGAGCAACUUGGGGUGUGUUUAGUUCCACGCCAAAAUUGGAAGUUUGACUAAAAUUGGAAGUUUGAAGAAAAAAGUUAGAAGUUUUUGUGUGUAGGAAAGUUUUGAUAUGAUGGAAAAGUUGGAAAUUUGAA